CUUAUUUCUGAUGAGGAGUUGAUCUUAUAUAUUCUAGGUGGUUUGGGUCAUGACAAUGACCCUGUAGUCAUUACUCUUACCUCUCGGCCAGACCCUUUAACCCUUCAAGAAGUCCAGUUUUUAUUGCAGAGUCAAGAAA